GAUGAACGCUAGCUACAGGCUUAACACAUGCAAGUCGAGGGGAAACGAUAUUGGAAGCUUGCUUCCGAUAGGCGUCGACCGGCGCACGGGUGAGUAACGCGUAUCCAACCUGCCCAUCACUUGGGGAUAACCUUGCGAAAGUAGACUAAUACCCAAUGAUAUCUCUAGAAGACAUCUGAAGGAGAUUAAAGAUUCAUCGGUGAUGGAUGGGGAUGCGUCUGAUUAGCUUGUUGGCGGGGUAACGGCCCACCAAGGCGACGAUCAGUAGGGGUUCUGAGAGGAAGGUCCCCCACAGUGGGACUGAGACACGGUCCAAACUCCUACGGGAGGCAGCAGUGAGGAAUAUUGGUCAAUGGACGAGAGUCUGAACCAGCCAAGUAGCGUGCAGGAUGUCGGCCCUAUGGGUUGUAAACUGCUUUUAUAAGGGAAUAAAGUGAGUCUCGUGAGACUUUUUGCAUGUACCUUAAGAAUAAGGACCGGCUAAUUCCGUGCCAGCCGCCGCAGUAA
rnacentral:rRNA from 1 species